rnacentral:rRNA from 1 species
CUUCGGGUGAAGGUGGCGGACGGGUGAGUAACGCGUAGAGAACUUGCCUUACAGACUGGGACAACAUUUGGAAACGAAUGCUAAUACCGGAUAUUAUGAUUGGGUCGCAUGAUCUGAUUAUGAAAGCUAUAUGCGCUGUGAGAGAGCUUUGCGUCCCAUUAGUUAGUUGGUGAGGUAACGGCUCACCAAGACGAUGAUGGGUAGCCGGCCUGAGAGGGUGAACGGCCACAAGGGGACUGAGACACGGCCCUUACUCCUACGGGAGGCAGCAGUGGGGAAUAUUGGACAAUGGACCAAAAGUCUGAUCCAGCAAUUCUGUGUGCACGAAGAAGUUUUUCGGAAUGUAAAGUGCUUUCAGUUGGGAAGAAGUCAGUGACGGUACCAACAGAAGAAGCGACGGCUAAAUACGUGCCAGCAGCCGCGGUAAUACGUAUGUCGCAAGCGUUAUCCGGAUUUAUUGGGCGUAAAGCGCGUCUAGGCGGCUUAGUAAGUCUGAUGUGAAAAUGCGGGGCUCAACCCCGUAUUGCGUCGGAAACUGCUAAACUAGAGUACUGGAGAGGUAGGCGGAACUACAAGUGUAGAGGUGAAAUUCGUAGAUAUUUGUAGGAAUGCCGAUGGGGAAGCCAGCCUACUGGACAG